GAUGAACGCUAGCGGCAGGCUUAAUACAUGCAAGUCGAGGGACAGCACAGGUAGCAAUACUGGGUGGUAACCGGCAAACGGGUGCGGAACACGUACACAACCUUCCUUUAAGUGGGGGAUAGCCCAGAGAAAUUUGGAUUAAUACCCCGUAAUAUAGUUGAAUGGCAUCAUUUGAUUAUUAUAGCUACGGCGCUUAAUGAUGGGCGUGCGGCUGUUUAGAUAGUUGGCGGGGUAACGGCCCACCAAGUCUACGAUCAGUAGCUGAUGUGAGAGCAUGAUCAGCCAAACGGGAACUGAGACACGGGCCCGACUCCUACGGGAGGCAGCAGUAAGGAAUAUUGGUCAAUGGACGCAAGUCUGAACCAGCCAUGCCGCGUGAAGGAUUAAGGUCCUCUGGAUUGUAAACUUCUUUUAUUUGGGACGAAAAAGGGCCUUUCUAGGUCAACUGACGGUACCAGAUGAAUAAGCACCGGCUAACUCCGUGCCAGCCGCCGCCGUAAAAC
rnacentral:rRNA from 1 species